rnacentral:lncRNA from 1 species
CUGAGUCACUCUUAACAAGACAGGAGAAAGCAGUUUCCUGCUUUCACGCCUUCCCUUUUUUCUUUUCUCUCUUCCUUCCUUCUUCCGUUCCUCUUCCUUCCCUCCCUCUUGACCUUCCUCUCUCCCUCCCUUCUUUCCUUCCUUCCUGUGGCUCUCCUUUGUGAGUGACCUACCUCCGCUUCCUACUCUGUGACUUUGCACAUUCAAUCAUUGCCUGGCUCCACCAGCAGUAUAUAAGGUGAAAGAGGAUCCUGCCAGCUGUUCUAGGCCCAGAGGACACCUCUCUCUCUCUCUCUGUCACUCACACACACACACACACACACACACACUCUCUCUCUCUCUCUCACACACACCCACUUAUUGAUGGGGUAAUAGGAUCAAGAGGUAGCUUUGCAUCAUCAAAAAGAAGUCAGUCAUUCUAGCCUGGAGCUUUAGAAGACGAAGUAAAAAAGAAGUCAGACAGUCCUAGCUUUGAAUCCUGGCCCAGCCACUUACUAGGUGGGAGACCUUGGGACAAUCGUAUCCCUUCUGGGGGAAUUUCCCCACCUCCAUGUUGAAGCCAAGGAUGACUAGUACUCCAUGGAAAAGAGGUCAACAUGAUAACCAGGAGAUGUGGUCAUGGGGCAUUAAAAGGUUCGAAGCUGUUCCAGAAAGGAUGUCAUUGAUGUGGAAUACAGGAACUGUGGAUGCCUCCUGAAUGGGAGCUGCAAACGAUUAUCAGAGUCAAGCAAGAGGAAUGGCAAGGCAUGUGCUGAAUAACAUCACAUUAAUAUGGCUCUUAGCUACCUAACCCAUUAGGAGCCAUAAUUAGGAGAGUUUGAAACAGACUGCAAGCAUCUUCUCCAGAAAGAAGCUAGGAGCGAGUCCAGCGGAUUCGUGGAAAUGGAUGGAGGCUGCUGAGUUGAGAGACUGAGAAGUGGAGGUACCUAGGAAGGUCCUCCCUGAAAAUACAUCGGGUUGUAAAACCUGGAAAGAAAUACCUCCAUUUGUCAGGCACUCACAGGGCGCUCUCCUCUGGCAGCUCCCAUGUUGAGCGCCCAGGGCAGCGACCAGACGGCGUCCUGUCCUCCUGCACGGGGCCAGAACUGGAUGGUCCCGCGACACAUCGUGUCUGCAGCUUUAGAGGCCUCCCCAGGAGUGCUACCGCGGUCAUUUCUGCCCAGCUGUAAAAUAACACCCAAUCAGCGAGCCGCCAGCUGCAAACUGUUCCGACCUACUCCUCCCUCCCCGGCUUAAUUCCCACCUAUACCAAAGUGGCCCCACGCGGGCAGAAGCGAAAGACGGAAAUGAGGGGAGGCCAACUACUCGAGAUCUGCGCCCGAAGCAGAUUUUCCACGCGCUCAGAGUAGGGUCGGGGAAAGGCCCACUUGGGGCUUCUGAGAGAGAGGGAAGGGCAGGGAAAGGGCUGCCCCCCAGCAAGACACAGUUGGGUGAACAACUGAGUCUUUGCCUCGUUGACAAAGGAGAAUGAGGGACUCGCGCCAGGCUGGCUUGAACUGACUGGAGAAAAGCGACUUCUGUAAUUCAGGGCCCUCCUCGUGCGAAGGAAACUUUGGCAAAGCAGAAAGACAGGCAUGCAGUUUCCAGGCGGAAAAACGUGAACCAUGGGACAUGAUGGGCUCCAGGGCCGUGGAUGCAGUUGCCCGAGGCCCCAGGGCCGCCCCCGGAAGGCCGGGACUGCCAGGGACUCGGCGUGGGGGUGCUGACUGCCGCUCCAGGCCUCGGGGUUCAAGCACUCCAGCAGCAUCCGCUCACCACGCUCCCCGCCCACUUCCAUGAUCACGAGGGGGCAAGGCUAGCCAAUCCGGGGUGGCCACUGCCCGGCCCUGCGAGGACUCGAGGCGCACUGGGAAACUGCGCGGUGCCUAGAGGUACAAAGAACAGGUCCUGGGAGGGUAGUAGGAGGGGACCUUAGCACAGCCUAUGUCAGUUUGUCAACAAGGAUUUGCUGAGAAGUCGCACUGUGCUCAGCAUAGCGGCACUGCCUACCUAAUGGGCUUUGGGGCAUAGACAGUGAAUAACCUGGCAGUGAUAAUAGUGUGCUGAAAGAAAGGCCAGCCCCAACAGCCACUACAGGAACCUCAGAAAGGAGGGGGCGUCCCUGUUAGUGGCUGAUACUGGAUUUCUCUCAUUGUGUUCGUGGCUGGCGCCAAACCAGAGAUCAUAAUGUAUAACAAAUAAAUGUGAAGUUUCUUACAUCCAAGUGGCCAGGGAAAACCUAUACUAAUUACAUGGUACAAACCCGCUGUGAUCAGGUGCUAAAUUGGGUGGCAGUCAGAGUACAGCUGUAGAGAUAUCUCUGAGGGCCAGAGUGAUCAGGAAAAGCUUUGUGGAAGAGGAAGAACUGGAGUUAGGUGCUGAAUGACGGGCAGGAUAUGGACAAGCAGAGGAAAGUGGGAAGGCGUUCCAGGAGGGAAGGGGCAGCAUAGCCAAAGCCCGGGGGAUGAGCAUGGUGGGUUUAUGGGGUUUUAGAGGGAUUAGCCUGUUUGGAGUGUAGCAGGUGCUCUGAAGAGCAUGGGACAGAAGAGAGCACAGGCAGCUGGAGGGUAGAGAUGGGGGCUAAUUGCAGAAUCCCACAGUGCCUAGGAAGGUCUCAGCUGUCAG